GACGAACGCUGGCGGCGUGCUUAACACAUGCAAGUCGAACGGAAAGGCCCUGCUUUUGUGGGGUGCUCGAGUGGCGAACGGGUGAGUAACACGUGAGUAACCUGCCCUUGACUUUGGGAUAACUUCAGGAAACUGGGGCUAAUACCGGAUAGGAGCUCCUGCUGCAUGGUGGGGGUUGGAAAGUUUCGGCGGUUGGGGAUGGACUCGCGGCUUAUCAGCUUGUUGGUGGGGUAGUGGCUUACCAAGGCUUUGACGGGUAGCCGGCCUGCGAGGGUGACCGGCCACAUUGGGACUGAGAUACGGCACAGACUCCUACGGGAGGCAGCAGUGGGGAAGAUUGCACAAUGGGCGGAAGCCUGAUGCAGCAACGCCGCGUGCGGGAUGACGGCCUUCGGGUUGUAAACCGCUGUCGCCUGUGACGAAGCGUGAGUGACGGUAAUGGGUAAAGAAGCACCGGCUAACUACGUG
rnacentral:rRNA from 1 species